CGCAUCUGUGCAUGCAGCAUAUCAAUAAGCGGAGGAAAAGAAACUAACAAGGAUUCCCCUAGUAACGGCGAGUGAAGCGGGAAGAGCUCAAAUUUGAAAUCUUAAAGGGUUUCCCUUUACGAAUUGUAGUUUAAAGAAGUGUUUUCUGUUGAGGUUUUGGUAAAAGUUCUUUGGAAUAGGACAUCAUAGAGGGUGAGAAUCCCGUAUUUGACCUUUACUUUCAACUUUGUGAUACACUUUCAAAGAGUCAGAUUGUUUGGGAAUGCAGUCCAAAAUGGGUGGUAAAUUUCAUCUAAAGCUAAAUAUUGGCGAGAGACCGAUAGCGAACAAGUACCGUGAGGGAAAGAUGAAAAGAACUUUGAAAAGAGAGUUAAACAGUACGUGAAAUUGUCAAAAGGGAAGCGUUUGACACCAGUGUUGUUUUUCUGAAAAUCAAUUAAAGAACUGUUUAUGCUAAGCUGUUUAGACUUUAUCAGCUAAUCUGUUUAGUUUUGAGCUUUUCUUUAAUGCACUUUUCAGUUAACAAGUCAACAUCAAUUUCUUUUGCUGUAAAAAAGCUUGAGGAAGGUGGCUUGAGAUUCGUCUUAAGUGUUUAUAGCCUCUUGCCUAUGCAGUCGGAGAGAUUGAGGUCUGCAGCGUAGAUCCUUCGGGGCUAAAUGCAUUUGUGCUAAGUUAUAGCAUUUUAUAGACAACUUGUUGACUAUGAUUUGUCUUGUAGCUUACUCGCUUAUGUUAUUUUACCUACGCUUAGGAUGUUGAACGCGCACAGAGUCUC
rnacentral:rRNA from 1 species